UUAAAAUGAAACACAGAGAGCAAAACCUCAUCUCAAGUCUCCAAAAGUCUAAACACAUGUUCUGCUUUACACACAUGAUGCAAUUC